AGAGAGAGGGGGGGGGGGAGAGAGGGAGAGAAAGAGGCGAGUACGAGCGGCGGUCUCGAGAGGAUCGGAAGGAUCGAAGAACGGAGGAGAGCAACAGGCUCCUAGCGUGGAAGGAAAACGGUGGAGGGGAGGCGGUACAACUGGAGAGUUCGGUGCAACCGUCGAUUCCAUUUCGUUAGUUCGCGCUCGAUCUCCUUUUUCGUACGCGUGUCAGUCUACGAAAGAGCUACGCUCGACGCUGCUUGGAAGGAGACCUUGUCGGUUUCGCGGCCGUCAUUCGGGUUUUCGCGGUCGCCUGGUGUUUCGUUCGUUCGACAGUUUUUUUUUCUUCUUUCCUUUCACGGUGCGUGAUAAAGCAUCGGCAGCAUCGCAGCGAGGAGGCGGGAAGGCGAGCGAGCAUCUGAUCAAUUUGGAGGAGAACGAUGUCGAGGAAGGCGACGAUGGUGGUCGAGCGCGGCUACCGGCUCGGCACGAGAGUGGCGAGCCGCUACCAACGAUUCUGAGGACGUCGUCCCUCGUAGAAGAAGGAAGUACGACCCGUAAUCCUUCCUGCCCGCGACAGUAACGUCCGGUUGACGAGCGGUUCCGCGUAAAGAAGAAACGAGAGAGAAUCGACGGUGCAAGCGUGAAGAAAAA